GGAUCACUCGGUGUUCAGCUUCUCUGCCACAAAUUGUCCGAAGGAAAGGUAAUGCAAUGUUAACAUCCUGUCUGGAAGAAUAAAAAUAGGGAAUAAAUUGUCUGUUUUGGAUGAGAAAUGCUUCAGGAAGCCUUUGCAGUUACUCACGACGCUUUGCCACCAUACUGCUAUUAAAUCCACAGCCAAAGCAUGUUGGUAUCAGAAGCAGGACUCAGAGGAGUGCCAGACUGAGGCACUCUGUCCUUUCCUGUCUGCUCUGGUUUCAGAAACUUCAGUCCUUUCAUUCAUUAGCUGUUUAAUUGUCCUGCAAAGGUCCUGAGUCAAUAUUUUUAUUUCCUGAUUUUACCUGCCAGUGGUGAACAAUCUGCUCCCCUUUCAGAGCAUCUGUCUAAAUUUAACAGGCGGACAAGGAGGACACUCCCAUGCCUGCUGGACUGGAAAACUCAUGAAGAGACUUCAACUCCCAUCCUGCAAGGUUUGGUCAGCUCAAGUACUCCCACCCCGGGAUGCUUCUCAUAAGAGCUCAAUUGAGAUAUACCGUGAGACAGAUGAGCAGACAUACAGCAAGAAUGACCAAGGUACUGUGAGAGAAGCUGCAUGUAAAGCUGCAGGUAGUUCAAUUGAUCACAAGCAAGCCACCCAAUGGAUGAGAUGCAGUGAGUGGAGGAACAGACUGAUGUUUUGCCCGUGUUCAUUCUAAUUGCGUCACAUGGAGUGAAUAAACCUGUAUUAUCCCUAUGAAUGAAUGAGCA
rnacentral:lncRNA from 1 species